rnacentral:lncRNA from 1 species
UCAAAGGAGGACUUUUACCAAAUUAAGAUCAUUCAUUCAUUUUGGGAGAUGGAAUAUACAUUCCAUCAAUCCCCUAAAUCCAAUGAUCUUAACCUAACAAAGUCAAAUCAACCUUGACCAAGGCCCUCAUUUUGGGAGAUGGAAUAUACAUUCCAUCAAUCCCCUAAAUCCAAUGAUCUUAACCUAACAAAGUCAAAUCAACCUUGACCAAGGCCCAACAACACAAGUCAAACUCACAAAGUCAAUUAAAAUGGCUCUACACA